GGAGUCCGUAUCAUGGUGAAGGUAUUUUUACAUUGAUGUUAGAAGGUGCAAAAUCAAUGGGUGCCGGAGCUGCUACAAUUGCUUUCAGAUAGUAGAGGCGAGCUUGGGGACGAUCUAAAACUAUUCCACAUGAAAGAGGACCGCCUUGACCACUCAUGGGAAAGGCAGACGAAGCCGGAACAUACUUCAAUAGAAUUGGCGGUAAAGUCUUGUCUUGCCUUGAUGGGUAGAACUCUUCUCGAAUCGAGAAGAACUGAAGACCCUGACCCAGCACGGAUCUGAAGCUGGAAGGUUGUGGAGCAAAAGAAGGGAAGUUCAAUGGACUUGAGAAUGGACUGAAUCUGCUUCCUUUCGAUGUUCAAUAGCUGCUUUCUUGAGAUUGAUUCGGAGCUAGGAUUUUUAUCAAACUGGCUCAGUGCGAAAACCACUGCUGGGAUUCUGCCUUGGGCUCUAUCCAUCUCGAGCAGAGACUCGGCUACCGGUGUACUCUGGAGGGACGGCUUGGAUAAGAGAAGACUGCGAGUAUAAUGACUGUAGUCGUGGCUCCAGAACUGAUGGACAUUGUACCACCGUUCUAAGGCCGCGCCAGUGCCACUGCUUGGCCACGGCGUUUCUGGGUCAAAUGGUUGCCAAAUGAAUAACAAUGCAAGUGUUUUGGGCGUCGGUUUUGGAUACUUCAUUUGGGCUUACCUUUUUUUUUUUUUAAA
rnacentral:misc_RNA from 1 species